UGGGGGAUCGUAUAAUGGUAGUACAGCGGACUCUGACUCCGUCAGUCGAGGUUCGAAUCCUCGUCCCCCAGCCA
rnacentral:tRNA from 1 species